GGGCGGGGUGAAAAGAUAUUAGGGGGCGGGUCUUAGUCACGUGAACAGGAGCGUGGGGUUGCGUGGGCUGGUCACAUGGCGCCGAUCUCUUUUCCUCCCCUUUCGAGAGCUUAGCUCCGUCAUGUGACAGUGGCGAAUUCCGAGGCCUCCUGUUCCACAUGACAAGGGCUUUUGCUCCUUGGCAACAUAAGUAGUUCUGCAUCACGUGAUAAAGUUGCUGCGCUGGUUUGGCAAUGGCGGUUUUUGAGCUGCCCUUACCACGUGACGCGGGGCAAAGGUGAGGGGCGGGGCCUCUGUGAGGCUGCGCGAGUGCACGCAUGCGCGGCAGCCAUCUUACGACCGUCGCUCUGAGUACUUGGGCGGAAGUGCUCUGAGAGUCCGGCGUGUGAGUGUUUCUUAGGGACCGAAGCGCGUUCUGGGACUUUCGGCCUCCAGCGGAGGUCAGCGCAGUGCUCGCAUCUCCCGCGGGAGGUGAAGAAGGCUAGAGAUGGAUAAACUGAGAGCCAGGCAAGGAAGAGAUCUCAUCCAGAGGACUCACGGGAGAGCCGGGACUGCGACUCAUGGCGCUCGGCCACAAACAGCUCCGGGGGUCCUAAGUAAAGGCACCAGUGACCGAGUUCCUUCUCCUUAGGAGCGUAGUAUCGUUGAAUCCUCUCAGGCACCUUGAGGGGUCCCCGUUGUACAGUCUGUGCUAAGCCCCGCUCUCUUCCAGGGUCACGUUGGCGCUCAACGGGCAUAGUUCUGCAGCUUGACAGUUGCCCGCGUUGCAGGGAUUUGGAGCAAGAAGCAAGGAGUUCUUAAAAAUGGGGGAAAGUUCAAGACUUACAGCUUAAUAACGGUUCUUCCUUGCAAAAAUGUAGGGACAGUGCAACACAGAAAAGGAUACAAGGAUCCAGUGCCUACCUGGGUUUGAGUCCUGUGUGAUCAAUGACAAUGCACCUCCCUGAGCCUCCGUUUCCCUAUCUACGUAAUAGUGAUGAUUUAUUCUUUUUAUAAAGCACUUCGCACAAUUAUUUUUGCAUAACAAAUACGCCCAAACUGAUAGCUUUUAUAAAGAAGGUAAGCUGUAAAAUACGAUUACAGAAAUAGGUGCGUGCUGCACCCAUUGCUCUUCUAUUUUAUUUACAUUUUAUUUAGGAUUUUUAAUAGGUAAUAUUUUCACGUGUUGUAAAGUGUCAUAUGUGCAAAACAAUAUGAGAGAAUGAAAUUGAUCUCCUUCCUUCAGACACCCAGUUCCCCUCCCUCUUGGCAGGCAGGGUAAAGUUUUUUUGUGUUAUCAGGACGCAUAACCGUAUUUUUAUUGCUGUUUUUCACAAAAAUAGGUGUUUUAUUCUA